UUGGGUUCCUGUAUCCAGAGAAGGAUUAGAAAAUAUCUGGCUGUUAUUUAGACAUUAAACCCAGAACCCCCUGAAAACUCCACUUAAUUAAAGUCACCUCUGUAAAACCCCACAGCUUUGGGCUCGUUAAAUGUUAACAUGAUUUAUAACCUUCAUCAUGUCUUUAGUUUAUAAAAUGCGCUCAUAGAAUGACGUGAACGCUAUAAAGCGGAAAGAGUGAUAUUAUUAUAAGCUUGUGCUUUUGGAGGAAGGUAAGACAGUGCAUAUGUGUGUGUAAUAGAUAUAUAUUUAUAUAUAAUGUGAAGGUUUUUUUGUGCUAUCGGGAUGUAAAUAGAGAACAGUUUCUCACCACUGAACGGAAGCCAUCUUGGAGUCAGUGUCAUGUGACCAACCCGGAAGUUGUGUAAAGAACUGGGACGGAGUCCAGGGUUCUUCCUCAUGCUGGAGAUCUUCCACACCGCUGUGGAUGUCUGCAGUGCUGCUGUGAGUGUUGGUUUUUGCUUGAUAGAACUGAAGUGGGACGUGACAAAGAGUUCCUUAGAGGAAAGUAACGAGCACCUUCGAGGAAGAUGGUGGAGGUGUGCAAGGAAAAUGGGAAGGAAAUGAAAUUCUCUCCAGUAACAGAGCAGACAGUCUUUGGUGUACACUUGUUAUUUUAUUUCACGUUUUUCCACAACAACAACAGCCGUGUCUUCAUAUCCCAGUCUGAGACGACACCACGUUCAGAUUUAACACGUUAACAUUUUCAGAGAUACAGCUGGAGCUAUCGUUACGCAUGAUUUCGUUAAUGAAACUAAUGAGAGAAAUCGUUACAGUUUGUGCAUCGCUUUUACUUAAAUGUAACAUGGAGUCCAAACAAAAAUGAUUGG